rnacentral:rRNA from 1 species
UUCCGGUUGAUCCUGCCGGACCCCACUGCUAUCGAGAUGGGACUAAGGUAUGCUAGUCGAACGACCAGAACUAUGUCUGGAAGUGGCACACUGCUCAGUAACACGUAGCUAACCUACCCUUAGGACGUGGAUACCCCCGAGAAAUUGGGGUUAAUCCGCGAUAGGUGUAAUGUCCUGGAAUGGUAUUACGCCUAAAGGUGUAUCAUACAUGUUUGAUAUACGCCUAAGGAUGGGGCUGCGGCCGAUCAGGCUGUUGGUGAGGUAAUGGCUCACCAAACCUUUGACCGGUACGGGCCAUGAGAGUGGUAGCCCGGAGAUGGACACUGAGACAAGGGUCCAGGCCCUAAGGGGCGCAGCAACCGCGAAACCUCCACAAUGCACUCACGUGCGAUGGGGCUAUCUCGAGUGCCACCUGAUGAAGGUGGCUUUUCCUAGGUCUUCAAAGCCUUGGGAAUAAGAGGGGGGCAAGACUGGUGUCAGCCGCCGCGGUAACACCAGCCCCUCGAGUGGUGGGGAUGAUUAUUUGGCCUAAAGCGUCCGUAGCCGGCCGAGCAAGUCUUCCGUUAAAUCCAGCGUCUCGAGCGUUGGACUGCGGGAGAUACUACACGGCUAGAGAGUGGGAGAGGUCAGCGGUAUUCUGGGGGUAGGGGCGAAAUCCUUUGAUCCCCGGAGGACCACCAGUGGCGAAGGCUGCUGACUAGAACACGUCUGACGGUCAGGGACGAAAGCUGGGGUAGCGAACCGGAUCAGAUACCCGGGUAGUCCCAGCCGUAAACGAUGCAUGCUAGGUGUUGGGUUGGCCACGAGCCACCCCAGUGCCGCAGGGAAGCCGUUAAGCAUGCCGCCUGGGAAGUACGAUCGCAAGAUUGAAACUUAAAGGAAUUGGCGGGGGAGCACCACCAGGCGUGAAGCCUGCGGUUUAAUUGGAGUCAACGCCGGA